GACCUGUGGGAGGGCAGCACAUGUGGCGGGGCACGUGUGGGGAAACGGACUUGUUCACUUCAUGGUCCCCAGCAAAUGAGAAGAGGGGCAGGAAGGAGCAGGUCCUCAUAUCCUUCAAGAGCAGACCCCAGUGACCUCACUUCCUCCCAUGAGGCUCCACUCCUUAGAGUUCCAUCACCUCCCAACACCACCACAGUGUGGGGACCAAGUUUCAACAUUACCUGGAAGCUGACGGUACAUCCUGCAGAUGUACCUUUACCAGAAGCAAGUGCCGCCUGGGUUGCUGGAUGAGAGUUGCCUUCAUUAUUGAUGUCUCCUUGCCUGGCAACCACCACUGCCUCCGGUGUCCAUCGAGGAAGAAUUGAUUCCAAACCUGGGCAGACGCUACUAUUGCCAUAUCCAAGAAACCUUGGUCCUCACUGGCACUGGGAAACACAUUGAG